rnacentral:rRNA from 1 species
UACAGAGGUCUCAAGCGUUGUUCGGAUUCAUUGGGCGUAAAGGGUGUGUAGGUGGACGGCGCUAAGUCGGGUGUGAAAUUUCGGAGCUUAACUCCGAAACCGUGCAUUCGACUACUGGCGUGCUUGAGGACUGGAGAGGAGUACUGGAAUUCAUGGUGGUAGCAGUGAAAUUGCGUAGAGAUCAUGAGGAAGGCCAGUGGCGAAGGCGGGUCUC